rnacentral:lncRNA from 1 species
CGAGGAGCGGAGGGUGCAGAUCCCACCCGGGUCUGAGGAGCUGAGACCCAGGAGCACGGGCGGCAGAAGACGGAUGUCACCGGCCCGUCAGCCAGACAGAAAUAAUGCAGAACCAGCCAUCUGGGCACCCCGGGCACGCUCAAGUCGAUGCACAAAACCAACGCCGCGCGUGGCCCUGACGUCUGCGUGUUCGCAUCACUCCACGCGCAUUGCUCGGUCCAUCGCCUGGGUGAGUUUGUCAGCUAGUUGUGCGGUUCUGGGGGUCUUUGCCCCGGGUGGUGAUGGUGGUGGUGGUGAUGACAGGCUCCCUACCGCCCCAGCUCAGGUGCGGAAGGUGAUGCCACCAACGGCUCCUUAUUUCUCAGAUACUUGAGCGGGUGCUCUGUGCAGCCAGUUCCACCUGCAACAG